UUAGGGGAAGUAAAAGUCGUAACAAGGUUUCCGUAGGCAACCUGCGGAAGGAUCAU
rnacentral:rRNA from 1 species